AGCGACUGGAGUAUUUUAUUCUAAUUCAGCAGAAGCUGUGCCCAGCCCUGGAGAUGCAAGGAGGAGUGAGAUGCGGUCACUGCCUACCCAUGCUUCCCUUGUUACCUAUGUGCUGAUGACUCCCAGGUUUUUACCUCCAACCCCAACCUGUAUUCUAAGGAGCAGAUUUCAACAUCCA